GACAGCAGAGUGACAGCAGGAACAUCAUCGGCAUGGCCACCAGGGGGCGCAGUGCUGCUGUGGGGUAAAGGGAUAUCAUCAGCAUGGCCAGCAGGGGGCGCAGUGCUUCUGUGGGGACAGAAAAGGGACAUUGGGGACAUCAGAGUGACAGCAGAGUGACAGCAGAGUGACAGCAGGAACAUCAUCGGCAUGGCCACCAGGGGGCGCAGUGCUGCUGUGGGACACAAAGGGACAUUGGGGACAUCAAUGGGGACAUUGGGGACAUUGGGAUAUCAUCAGCAUGGCCACCAGGGGGCGCAGUGCUUCUGUGGGGACACAAGGGGACAUUGGGGACAUCAGGGUGACAGCAGAGUGACAGCAGGAACAUCAUCAGCAUGGCCAGCAGGGGGCGCAGUGCUGCUGUGGGGACACAAAGGGACAGAAAAGGGACAUUGGGGACAUCAGAGUGACAGCAGAGUGACAGCAGAGUGACAGCAGAGUGACAGCAGAGUGACAGCAGGAACAUCAUCGGCAUGGCCACCAGGGGGCGCAGUGCUUCUGUGGGGACACAAGGGGACAUUGGGGACAUCACUGGGGACAUUGGGAACAUCAGAGUGACAUUGAGGACAUCAUUGGGAUAUCCCAGCACGGGGGCACAGUGCUUCUGUGGGACACAAGGGGACAUUGGGGACAUCAGGGUGACAGCAGAGUGACAGCAGGAACAUCAUCGCCAUGGCCAACAGGGGGCGAAGUGCUGCUGUGGGGUAGAGGGAUAUCAUCAGCAUGGCCAGCAGGGGGCGCAGUGCUGCUGUGGGGACACAAGGGGACAGCAAAGGGACAUUGGAGUGACAUUGGGGACAUCAGAGUGACAGCAGAGUGACAGCAGGAACAUCAUCGGCAUGGCCACCAGGGGGCGCAGUGCUGCUGUGGGGACACAAAGGGACAUUGGGGACAUCAGAGUGACAUUGAGGACAUCAUUGGGAUAUCCCAGCACGGGGGCACAGUGCUUCUGUGGGGACACAAAGGGACAUUAGAGUGACAUUGGGGACAUCAGAGUGACAUUGGGGACAUCAUUGGGGACACCAUCGGGGCAUUGGGGACACCAUCAGC
rnacentral:lncRNA from 1 species